AACGAACGCUGGCGGCAUGCCUAACACAUGCAAGUCGAACGAAGGCUUCGGCCUCAUUGGCGCCCGGGUGCGUAACGCGAGGGAAUCUGCCCUCUGGUUCGGAAUAACAGCUGGAAACGGCUGCUAAUACCGGAUGAUGACGAAAGUCCAAAGAUUUAUCGCCAUAGGAUGAGCCCGCGUGGGAUUAGAUAGUUAGUAUGGUAAUGGCCUACCAAGCCGACGAUCCAUAGCUGGUCUGAGAGGAUGAUAAGCCACGCUGGGACUGAGACGCGGCCCAGACUCCUACGCGAGGCAGCAGUGCGGAAUGGUGGACAAUCGGCGAAAGCCUGUUCCAGCAAUGCCCCUUGAGCGAUGAAGGCCCUGGGGUUGUAAAGCUCUUUUACCCGGGAAGAUAAUGACUGUACCGGGAGAAUAAGCCACGGCUAACUCCGUG
rnacentral:rRNA from 1 species